rnacentral:lncRNA from 1 species
CCGCCUACAGGGGAAAGAGCACAGAUCUAAAACAAAAACAUAAAAAUAUUUAAACAUUUAAAAAACAACCAUCUCGUCAAGGCAACAUUUGUCAUUUUUAUUUAGUUUAUCAUAAUCUACUAAAAUAACUAAAACUGAAAUACAAAUAUUAAAAACUGUAUAUUAGUAAUUAGUUAAAACACAACAAAAUUACUAAAACAUUACUAUUAAAAGGAAAAACAGAAAAAGUAUACAAUUUUUAGAUCGUAAUAUACUAAAAUUACAUGUUUGAAAGAAUAUAAUAUAUAUAUUGUUAAGUUGUUUCCUUAUAAAACGUAGUAUUGAAUACAGCAGGAGAAUCCUAAAAAUAUUUCUAAAAAGUGAUGUGAGACACUGAAAACAGCUAUAUAUUCUUGUUAUAUAGUCUUUUUAAUUAACAUAAUUUAUAUAAUAUUUUAUAUUACAAUAUGUAUUAUUUUAAUAUUAUAAAACUAAAUAAUUUUUAGUAUUAAUAUUUUAAUCCAUCAUUCAAUUAAUAUCUUGAAUAUAUAAACACUUAGUCUAUGUCUAGAUAUGAACACCAACAAUUAAAAAUGUUAUAAAAAUAUUAUUGUAGUGAUGCAACGUUUCUACAGCACACACACACACACAUUAGUGCUGUUACAUGAUUAAUCACGAUUAAUCGCAUCCAAAAUAAGUUUUUGUUUACAUAAUAUAUAUUAUGUGUAUAUAUAGACACACUCAUAUAGUAUAUAUUACAAACAGUAAAUAUCUAAAUAUAUUUAAUAUAAACUUUUUCCUUAAAUAUAUACAUGCAUGUGUGUCAAAUUAUAAUUGCAUUAUUUUAUACUUGUAUCCAUUCUAACCAUGUCUACAGCCUAAAAAUAUCACGUAUGUCACAAAUCACACAUCUUUGCAAACACUCACCAGCUGGAGCUGCUCCUCAUUACCAACAAUUACUAAAGAAAGUCUCGCUGAUCGCCCGCUCACUGCCUACAGAGAGAGAGAGAGAGAGUGUGUGUGUGUUAUUAUCAUGUCUGUGAACGCGUCAUGAGUUUGAGAUCGUGAUGUGAUGAGUGUCGCAGUGACCCUCCUCAGAGGUCAGAGUUGUUCUGGCGGUUAGGAUCUGUUGUUUCCUCUGAAGGUGUGUGUGUGUGUGUGUGUGUGUGUGCAGGAGGAACAGAUGUGUCUCUGUGGGAUCGUCCGGGAAUCCUAGCAGCAUCUUUGCAUAACCAAAUGUUGGCAGUGUUGAACUCAUCGAAGCCACAACAAAACAUGGAGCGCUGCCAGACACACAGCUUGUGUGUGUGUGUGUGUGUGUGAGAGAGAGAGAGAGUGCAUGAGUGUUUCAAGUUGAAGUUGAGCUUUAUACUCAUUCUUCUACAUGUGUGGACAUAAAGUAUCACAGGACCACGGUGCGACAUAAAUACAGACACACAACAAUGAAGUAAAACAGAAUAAACCUAUACACAACUAACCUACUGACAGAUUUUGAUUAUAAAUAUACUAUAUAUAAAUGAUUACCUAUACAUAGACUGUGUGUGUGUAUGUGUCAGUGUGUGUGUGUCUGUGUCUGUGUGUGUGAAGGAGCUGAGAUCAGAGUGCAGGACAGUGUAUUAUUCUGCAGCAUAUGUGUUGUGAGUGUGUUUAAUGCAUGAGCGGGGUCUAAUCUGCUCAGUAACAGAGGAUCUAGUGUUGGUCUGUCUGUUUGUUUACUGCAGCAUGUUUGGUUUCAGUCUGUUAAGUCUUUAAAAGUGCUCAAGAGGCUUUAAACUGCAUGCCUUUAAAAGACCAUCGACAGACCCGCUGGACACACAGAACUCGCUCGGAGUGAGAUUUACUCAUUAACACUAACGACACACUUCUAACUCUCCCAUGCACAUGUGUUUCUGACCCUAACAGUCAUUCAUACUCAUGCAUUGGUAGAUGCUUUUAUCCAAAGCAACUCACAUUGCAUGCACCGUUUCUUUUUUAUUUUCAUGUAAAGUUCAUGCAAUCCUCGCACUGUUUCAGCAUUAGUAAUAUAAGAACUAAAAGUGAUAUAAUAGGCAUAUUAAAACUAAUUACUAUAAAACUAAAUCUAUUAAAAUAAAAAUCUUUAAGUUAAACAAAUUCCAACUGAAAUAAUAUAUGUAUUUAAACUUUUAUUUAUUUUUGCCAAG